AACCCAUGUUGAGAAAAUUUCUACAGGAGAUGCUUAAACCUAUCCCAUGUCUCGAAAAGAGACUCCAAUUUUGUUGGUACAAAAGAGGAUAUUUUAUUCCUAAGCUU